GAUGAACGCUCGCGGCAGGCCUAACACAUGCAAGUCGAGGGGUAGAAGGAGCUUGCUCCUUUGAGACCGGCGCACGGGUGCGUAACGCGUAUGCAAUCUACCUUGUACAGGGGAAUAGCCCAGAGAAAUUUGGAUUAAUGCCCCAUAGUAUAUAACCUUCGCAUGUUGGUUAUAUUAAAGUUCCAACGGUACAAGAUGAGCAUGCGUCCCAUUAGUUAGUUGGUAAGGUAACGGCUUACCAAGACGAUGAUGGGUAGGGGUCCUGAGAGGGAGAUCCCCCACACUGGUACUGAGACACGGACCAGACUCCUACGGGAGGCAGCAGUGAGGAAUAUUGGUCAAUGGUCGCAAGACUGAACCAGCCAUGCCGCGUGCAGGAAGACGGUCCUAUGGAUUGUAAACUGCUUUUAUACAGGAAGAAACCCUCCCACGUGUGGGAGCUUGACGGUACUGGAGGAAUAAGGAUCGGCUAACUCCGUG
rnacentral:rRNA from 1 species